rnacentral:lncRNA from 1 species
UGACUAUACAGGUGGUUGAGGGAGUACAGGCACCCAGGGCAGUGCCACACUCUCUGAACCCUGUACACUGUUCAUGUUCCACUAAUUUUUAUCUUGAAACAUUAGAACCAUAUUAAUAACAUGUUAAUGGUUAUUAUUAAUACCAUAUUAACAACAUCUGAUAAUAUUAUUUAAUAAUCAGUGUGAAUUUUAUUUGGAAGUUCGUUCCAGUUAAUAUAGGAUAGACAUAAUAAAUGUAAUAAAUUGAACCCAGUGAACCAGCUCUUUGGUAAUAAAAUCAAAUACCCAGCGGUUGACUGGAUUAAGACUCCAGGUCACACAGUGCCACCCCACACUGACCAGAACUUUUUACUGAGUUAAAAGUUGGGGUUUGCAAGGUGAGGAUUGAGGCCAACACUUUAUCACUGCACUUAGGACCCUGUGUCUACAGGAGCUAAAGACAAGCUUGUUAUGAGAACAGUUAGCUAAGAGUUCCACUGGAGCCUACUCAGUGUCUUAAAACACACAGCUCUUCUGGAAAAUAGGAAUGGAAGAAGGCAAAGACGGAAGUCAAAUCCCUGCAGCUCUGAAUGUGAACCAGCAAGAGCAGUGGUGCCUUUAUCUGUGUGUCUGAUGCAACCCUGCUGAGGCCUGCUCAGGCUGAGAUGGCACAAGCAGACCAACAAUGUACCUGCCCGCUGUGAUAACUGCCUGUGUUAAUGGCCAUCUCCCACCAAAGAGAACCAGGAUUGCCUCCCAAAAUGGCCAAUCUGGUCUUCAGGAGGGCGGUUUUGAAAAAUACAAGCCUAGAAUGUGCUGACAUACCAGAAAGCAAGGGAACUGGCAGAAGUGACUCAGCACACAGUCACUCCAUGAAUGAGGAGCAGCUCCCAGCAGUCAAGACAGAGAUUGAGACUUUUCUCUGGGACUUCAAUAAGAAAACAGUCAUUCAUUUCUCUAUACCUGAAUGGCUAUUUUCACCUGGAUUCUUUCCAAGGAUAGAGUAUUCUGGAUGGCUUAUCAACUGAUCAGUGCUAUUUAACUGAAAGAGCCACUUAUCUAUGUGUCACUCAGUUGCUGUGAAAGAACUAGGCCUUUUAAAGGCACCUGAACAAGAGGAGCAAGAAGGAAAUUUGGCCAAGGGCGGCCAGAUCCAAGUGGUAACAGCCCCAUGCCACAACAACAGCUGCAUAACCUAUAAUCAAACACCUGCAUACACAAAGUGUGCA